rnacentral:rRNA from 1 species
UACGGAGGGGGCGAGCGUUAUUCGGAAUUAUUGGGCGUAAAGGGCGCGUAGGCGGCUGCACAAGUCAAAGGUGAAAUCCCUCGGCUCAACUGAGGAACUGCCUUUGAAACUGUGCGGCUUGAGUCCGGGAGGGGGUAGCGGAAUUCCCAGUGUAGCGGUGAAAUGCGUAGAUAUUGGGAGGAACACCAGUGGCGAAGGCGGCUACCUGGACCGGAACUGACGCUGAUGCGCGAAAGCGUGGGUAGCAAACAGG